GGGUUUAGGGUUUAGGAUUUAGGGUUUAGUGUUUUUAUUUAGAGUUUAGGAUUUAUCCAAGGGUUUAGGGUUUGCCCAAGGGUUUAGAGUUUAUCCAAGGGUUUAGGGUUUACCAGGUUUACCCAAGGGUUUAGGGUUUAGGAUUUAGGGUUUAGGGAUUAAGAUUUAGGGUUUAGUGUUUUGCUGACGACGCUAAAAAGAUUUUUUUAAUUCUUUUUUCUGUAACUGCUAUUUUUUUUUUUAAACAUAAUAUAACUUGAUAAUAUUUUGUUUCUUUUUUUAAAAGAUAUCGAAUUUGAAAUAAUGAAAUCCUAUUG
rnacentral:lncRNA from 1 species